rnacentral:tRNA from 1 species
AGGUAGGGUGGCCGAGCAGGUGUCGGGCUGUAAACCCGCGUACGGGGUCCGCGCACCCCCCCCACCAA